CAUUGUGAUGGUGUCUGAGUGUUGGCUUGGUCUCUGUUGGCUUGCUACAUAUCUAGAAAGCUCCAUGAUUUGUGCUAAGCUCAAAAUAUCAGUAGAUUUGUUGUGGUAGUGCCUUAACAGGAUUUGAGACUUCUCCAUUCAGGAAAAGACAAGUCCGGUAGAUACAAAAAUUACAAGAUCGCAAGUUUGGAUUGAAGGUCAAAAGAAAAAAAAUGGGGAGCCUAGUACUCAAGCUGUUGGAGAGAAAAUAGUGGACCUAAUUCGACCAAAUGAUGAAAUGCAG